GCUCAGGACACUGUGGAGGAUGGCAUUUUCACAGGGCUGUGGAUGCUUGCAUGUGUAAUCUCACUGAGAGCUAAUAGAAAGGCUAGGACCAAACCU